rnacentral:rRNA from 1 species
CCUGGCUCAGGAUGAACGCUAGCUACAGGCUUAACACAUGCAAGUCGAGGGGCAGCAUGGUCUUAGCUUGCUAAGGCCGAUGGCGACCGGCGCACGGGUGAGUAACACGUAUCCAACCUGCCGUCUACUCUUGGACAGCCUUCUGAAAGGAAGAUUAAUACAAGAUGGCAUCAUGAGUCCGCAUGUUCACAUGAUUAAAGGUAUUCCGGUAGACGAUGGGGAUGCGUUCCAUUAGAUAGUAGGCGGGGUAACGGCCCACCUAGUCUUCGAUGGAUAGGGGUUCUGAGAGGAAGGUCCCCCACAUUGGAACUGAGACACGGUCCAAACUCCUACGGGAGGCAGCAGUGAGGAAUAUUGGUCAAUGGGCGAGAGCCUGAACCAGCCAAGUAGCGUGAAGGAUGACUGCCCUAUGGGUUGUAAACUUCUUUUAUAAAGGAAUAAAGUCGGGUAUGGAUACCCGUUUGCAUGUACUUUAUGAAUAAGGAUCGGCUAACUCCGUGCCAGCAGCCGCGGUAAUACGGAGGAUCCGAGCGUUAUCCGGAUUUAUUGGGUUUAAAGGGAGCGUAGAUGGAUGUUUAAGUCAGUUGUGAAAGUUUGCGGCUCAACCGUAAAAUUGCAGUUGAUACUGGAUAUCUUGAGUGCAGUUGAGGCAGGCGGAAUUCGUGGUGUAGCGGUGAAAUGCUUAGAUAUCACGAAGAACUCCGAUUGCGAAGGCAGCCUGCUAAGCUGCAACUGACAUUGAGGCUCGAAAGUGUGGGUAUCAAACAGGAUUAGAUACCCUGGUAGUCCACACGGUAAACGAUGAAUACUCGCUGUUUGCGAUAUACGGCAAGCGGCCAAGCGAAAGCGUUAAGUAUUCCACCUGGGGAGUACGCCGGCAACGGUGAAACUCAAAGGAAUUGACGGGGGCCCGCACAAGCGGAGGAACAUGUGGUUUAAUUCGAUGAUACGCGAGGAACCUUACCCGGGCUUAAAUUGCAGAUGAAUUACGGUGAAAGCCGUAAGCCGCAAGGCAUCUGUGAAGGUGCUGCAUGGUUGUCGUCAGCUCGUGCCGUGAGGUGUCGGCUUAAGUGCCAUAACGAGCGCAACCCUUGUUGUCAGUUACUAACAGGUUCCGCUGAGGACUCUGACAAGACUGCCAUCGUAAGAUGUGAGGAAGGUGGGGAUGACGUCAAAUCAGCACGGCCCUUACGUCCGGGGCUACACACGUGUUACAAUGGGGGGUACAGAGGGCCGCUACCACGCGAGUGGAUGCCAAUCCCCAAAACCUCUCUCAGUUCGGACUGGAGUCUGCAACCCGACUCCACGAAGCUGGAUUCGCUAGUAAUCGCGCAUCAGCCACGGCGCGGUGAAUACGUUCCCGGGCCUUGUACACAC